UUUCCCAAUCCCACUUUCCCCUUUCUUACUCCCACAGCACUUCUUCUCCCACCUACCCUCUUCCUCACUCCUACAGCACCUCUUCUCCCACCUAUCUACACAGGUCUCACCCCGACGCCGAUCUACGCCCCCGAUUUCUUGAUCCACAUUGGGUGCCUCCAUCCUUGGUUGCUACUACUGCGGACUACGGCCGUCGCCUUAUCUCCUCCGCUCCAAAGUUUCCUAUUUUUCAGGUUUCAAUACGUUACAGUCUCACUUAGUGAAUCUUUGAAAGAGAAUGUGAGCCUUUUUACAUAGUGAAGUGAGAUUAGAGUUACAGUGAAGGACCCUCCACAGUCACAAUGUAAAGGAAAGAAAAAGCAACAAAGAUUCAAGCCACUUAUUGAAAAGGCAGCGAAGAAAUCCAGAACUUAUCAACAUUGUCGAAAGAAAGGUCACAAUAUUCGAACUUGUCGGGAGCUUACUUUGGAGGAAAAAGAGGGUGCUACAGCUAUUGUAGAGAGUGAUGACUAAGUGAGCUUAUGUUUCCUACAAUUGCAAGAUUGCUUGGAUUAGAGAGAUGGACUUCAAUGUGGAAUAAUAUUGGUUCUUAGUGAUUUAAUGUCUUUAUGUUACUUGUUUGAGUGUGUUGUGAUAUAGUUGAUUUUAAUUAUUGUGUAUGGAUGUGUUGUGAUAGUUGUUUAUGUAUUUAUGUCUAGUUAUUUUGGGUAUUUUAUCAUGUAUUGGCAUCUUUGAGCAUUUUCUCUUGAGCAUAUACUCAAAUUUUGACACGUGUCUUAUAUUGGCAUCUUUAAGCAUGUU